AGUGAACGCUGGCGGCGUGCUUAACACAUGCAAGUCGAACGAGAACGGGUUAUAGCUUGCUAUAAUUGUCAGCUAAGUGGCGCACGGGUGAGUAAUGUAUAGGUAAUAUGCCUCUUACUAAGGGAUAACAAAUGGAAACGUUUGCUAAUACCUUAUACUCCUUAUUAACAUAAGUUAAUAAGGGAAAGAUUUAUUGGUAAGAGAUUAGCCUGUAUUGUAUCAGUUAGUUGGUGGGGUAAUGGCUUACCAAGACUAUGACACAUAACUGGUUUGAGAGGAUGAUCAGUCACACUGGUACUGAUACACGGUCCAGACUCCUACGGGAGGCAGCAGUGGGGAAUAUUGCACAAUGGACGAAAGUCUGAUGCAGCAACGCCGCGUGGAGGAUGACACAUUUCGGUGCGUAAACUCCUUUUAUAUGAGAAGAUAAUGACGGUAUUAUAUGAAUAAGCACCGGCUAACUCCGUGCCAGCCGCCGCGGUAAGAC
rnacentral:rRNA from 1 species